rnacentral:rRNA from 1 species
AUCAACUUUCGAUGGUAGGAUAGAGGCCUACCAUGGUGGUAACGGGUAACGGGGUGUUAGGGCACGACACCGGAGAGGGAGCCUGAGAAACGGCUACCACAUCCAAGGAAGGCAGCAGGCGCGCAAUAUUACCCAAUCCCGACACGGGGAGGUAGUGACAAUAAAUAACAAUACAGGGUUCUUUUGGAUCUUGUAAUUGGAAUGAGUACAAUUUAAAUCUCUUAACGAGGAACAAUUGGAGGGCAAGUCUGGUGCCAGCAGCCGCGGUAAUUCCAGCUCCAAUAGCGUAUAUUAAAGUUGUUGCAGUUAAAAAGCUCGUAGUUGAAUUUCGGGAUCAAUAUUUCGGUCAUGCCGUUGGUAUGCACUGUUAUCAUUGAUUUCUCACCUUCUAAAGAACCGUAAUGCCAUUAAUUUGGUGUUACGGGGAAUUAGGACUGUUACCUUGAAAAAAUUAGAGUGUUUAAAGCAGGCUCACGCUUGAAUACAUUAGCAUGGAAUAAUGAAAUAGGACAUCCGAUUCUAUUUUGUUGGUUUCUAGGAUCGAUGUAAUGAUUAAUAGGGAUAGUUGGGGGCAUUAGUAUUCAAUUGUCAGAGGUGAAAUUCUUGUAUUUAUUGAAGACUAACUACUGCGAAAGCAUUUGCCAAGGAUGUUUUCAUUAAUCAAGAACGAAAGUUAGGGGAUCGAAGACGAUCAGAUACCGUCGUAGUCUUAACCAUAAACUAUGCCGACUAGGGAUCGGAUGAUGUUAAUUUUUUAAUGACUCAUUCGGCGCCUUACGGGAAACCAAAGUGUUUGGGUUC